UGUUCUAAAAAUCGGGCUAGGCGGCCGAUUAAUCGGCGCCUAGGCGCUAGGCGGUGCUGUACCGAUGGGUUUAAUGCAUAAUCGGUUUAAGAAAUCGGUUUACUGAUUACACCCCGCGUAAACCCGAUUUUUUGGAAAAUCGCCGAUUUAAUAAUUUAAAAAUUUGGGCUUUAAUUCGAAUUGGGCCUCAAAAUUAAUUAAACCCAUUUAUUUUUCUGGAUUUGGAAUUUUAGUUUAAUGAAACCCACAUCCACGUUUUCUUCUUCUCUCCACUCGUGCAUUACAGUGAAACCAAACAAAAUUAACGAAACCUAAACAAGUUUUUUUCUUAAAAGAAUGGAAGAAACCUAAUGAACUUUGCUCACAUCCCAUAAUCUCGUCUCUCAAAAAUUAGUUCUAACCCUAACAAAAUUUGAUUUGAUUUCGAGCCACUCUUAUCUCUAAAAUCUCAACAUCGGCACUACACAAUUCUGCAACUUUCUCUCUGAUAAUUAAAAAGUCCUAACUAAACAAGAAGUCCAACAUAUGCUAAUUACUUGAUCAUUGAAGAAAUCAAACGAGGAAGAAGUAGUAGUCUUCACUUUUUUGUGACCUUUCACUAUUUUUUAUGUGUCUCUAGAUCAAGACCAUACUAUUUUUUGUAUAACAUGUUGGAACUUUAAAUUGUAUUUUGAAUACCCAUUUAGGAUGAAUGUCAUUUUGAUAUAAAGUAAUUUUGCAAAA